rnacentral:rRNA from 1 species
AUUGAACGCUGGCGGCAGGCCUAACACAUGCAAGUCGAGCGGAUGACGGGAGCUUGCUCCUUGAUUCAGCGGCGGACGGGUGAGUAAUGCCUAGGAAUCUGCCUGGUAGUGGGGGACAACGUUUCGAAAGGAACGCUAAUACCGCAUACGUCAUACGGGAGAAAGCAGGGGACCUUCGGGCCUUGCGCUAUCAGAUGAGCCUAGGUCGGAUUAGCUAGUUGGUGGGGUAAUGGCUCACCAAGGCGACGAUCCGUAACUGGUCUGAGAGGAUGAUCAGUCAAACUGGAACGGAGACACGGUCCAGACUCCUACGGGAGGCAGCAGUGGGGAAUAUUGGACAAUGGGCGAAAGCCUGAUCCAGCCAUGCCGCGUGUGUGAAGAAGGUCUUCGGAUUGUAAAGCACUUUAAGUUGGGAGGAAGGGCAGUAAGUUAAUACCUUGCUGUUUUGACGUUACCGACAGAAUAAGCACCGGCUAACUUUGUGCCAGCAGCCGCAGUAA